AUGCCUUGCUUCACCCUAGAAAAACAGAAUGCGUGUGCCCUGAGAUGCCAUGCCUUGCACCAACAUAGGUUCGGCAAAGUAUCAGCUCACCAAUGCCAAUACCACGCAAUGGAUGAUCCCACACCUAUUUCUGCUUGCAACCGCCUGCAUCACCGGGUCUAUAAGUACCUCCCUAUCCUCUUCACCCAAACAUCGACAACACCUGCGCCUGCAAUCAUCUGGCUGGUCUUGUGUUUCACCAAUCUCUGCCUCCCUGCUCUCUCGCUCGCAACUGCAAUCAUCUGCGCCCUUGAUUUCAGCAUGGAGGUAGCCAUAGGUGCGGCGCGAUGGGUGGUGGGCAAGGCGCUGGGCCCUGUCGCCGACGGCUUGCUGGAGGCGUGGGCUGCCAGCAAGGAGCUAGGCCCUAACGUUGACGCGCUAAAGAUGGAGCUUCUCUAUGUGCAGGGGAUGCUCAACAACUCCCGCAGCCGGAACAUUGACAACCCUGCACUUAACGUGCUGCUGCAGAAGCUGCGGGACCUCGCGUACAGUGCCGAGGAUGUGCUGGACGAGCUCGACUACUUCCGUAUCCAGGACCAGCUCGACGGCACCUACGAGGCCGCCGACGAGCAUGCCAGGGGCUGCGUGUGCAAUCUCUACCUCAACGCUCAUCACACCGCUAGAGCUGCUGGCAAACUGCUCUGCUUCUGUCCAUUUUUGCGUACGGCUAGCCGUGUUGAUCCAAGCGAGCCAAGGGAAGAAGAUACAAGGCAACAAGUACUCUGCUGCGCUUGGCCAUGUGCCAAGCAGCGGAGUGCACGCUCAAACACCCCGUCAGCGCCACACAACCACCAGGCCAACGAAGAGGUCAGAAGAUGCAUGCGCAAGCUCGCUUCUGGUGCUUGCAACACCAUCCGUCAUGUUGGCAUGGAAGAACCGGAGUUCAAAGAAGAAUUCUAUGGAGACGAACAUGCGAACUAG
rnacentral:rRNA from 1 species